rnacentral:tRNA from 1 species
GGAGUUGUGGCUCAGUAGUAGAGCACUUGCCUAGUAUGCGUGAGGCACUGAGUUCAAUCCUUAGCACCA